rnacentral:rRNA from 1 species
UACGAAGGGGCUAGCGUUGUUCGGAAUUACUGGGCGUAAAGCGUAUGUAGGCGGAUCGUUAAGUCGGGGGUGAAAUCCCGAGGCUCAACCUCGGAACUGCCUUCGAUACUGGCGAUCUUCGAGUCCGGGAGAGGUGAGUGGAAUUCCUGGUGUAGCGGUGAAAUGCGCAGAUAUCAGGAAGAACACCCGUGGCUAAGGCGGCUCUCUAGUACGGUACUGACGCUGAGACGCGAAAGCGUGGGGAGCGAACAGG